rnacentral:rRNA from 1 species
UAGGGAAUCUUCCGCAAUGGGCGAAAGCCUGACGGAGCAACGCCGCGUGAGUGAUGAAGGUCUUCGGAUCGUAAAACUCUGUUAUUAGGGAAGAACAAAUGUGUAAGUAACUAUGCACGUCUUGACGGUACCUAAUCAGAAAGCCACGGCUAACUACGUGCCAGCAGCCGCGGUAAUACGUAGGUGGCAAGCGUUAACCGGAAUUAUUGGGCGUAAAGCGCGCGUAGGCGGUUUUUUAAGUCUGAUGUGAAAGCCCACGGCUCAACCGUGGAGGGUCAUUGGAAGCUGGAAAACUUGAGUGCAGAAGAGGAAAGUGGAAUUCCAUGUGUAGCGGUGAAAUGCGCAGAGAUAUGGAGGAACACCAGUGGCGAAGGCGACUUUCUGGUUUGUAACUGACGCUGAUGUGCGAAAGCGUGGGGAUCAAACAGG